ensembl:lncRNA
AUGAAUAAGACAAAUAGAGCUCACAGAACACAGAAGCGUCACUGUGGAUUUAUAAUACAUGGAAGCACAUUUAGCUUUAGCACGUCGCAUCCGAUAGACCAACAUGUAAAUAUAGACAGCUACCUGUCCUUCUCCUUCUCCUCGACCCUGGCGCCGGAUGGUCAGGCUUCCCUCGUCCGCGAACGGCAGGUUCUCCGACGAACUGCCCGCCGAGCCGGGGUGGGGCGAGGACGGGGGGUUGGGGGCGGAGCAAUUUUCCGGGAGAGGGGCGUCUUCGGGCUGGACGGCGGGAGACGGGAAGGGAGCGGGAGUCGGCUGUUCGCGCCUGGCAGCCGCCACCAGCUCGCUGACCGGGCCACUAAUGGUCCGCCGCCGGUUCACCACUUCGCCGUCCAGGCCGAUGGCGUCGCGCGUCUUCCCCACCUGGUGAACACACGCCGCGCAGCGCGGCGGUCACUAACUGCAUGCUGGUACAUUGGACAUAUUGGAGCGCAUAAAGUCCUGAAACUAGAAUACCUGCAGGAGAUUCUUUUGCAGCGCCAUGCCUUUGGCUCCGCCUCCAAUAGAAGACAUCUCCAACAUGGCGGCGAUGCUCCUCACACUACCCACGCUGCUCGUCUCGACGGGAACCGCCCCCACGGACAUCCCCAGGUCGCUGGCCCGCCGCUGUUGGAGGUAAGGAACGUCCAGCAUCCCCCCUGUGGUGGCGAGCUCGUGCGGCUGCGCGUUGGCCUCCGUCAGGUUGGAGUUGGAGGUGGAGAUGGCGGAGCUGGAGCGCUUGGGCGGCGGCGGGGGCGGCCCUUUCUUCUUCUGGCGCAGGGCAAAGGGCUGCGUGUGGUAGCGGUUGAGGGUCUUGUCCUGGUUGCGCACCGAGUGGCUGCGGCUGACGCGGUGGGUCACCGUCGCGUAUUUGACUCCGUCCCCUCUCACGGCGCCACAGGCCGGACCUCCCGCCACCUCGGCCUCCCCCCCUCCCUCGCGCCCCUCUCCUCCCCCCGCCCUCUCGUCACACUCACCGUCCGAGGCGGCGUAUCGGUUCGGGGGGUGUCCGCGCUUGUUCUGGAGCGCCGAAGACUCCCCCCCUUCCCCCUCGGCCAGCUCCGCCUCCGGUGGGAGGCAGAGGAGGGGGACCCGCGGGGGCGGCUCCUCCAUCACCUCGGGGGGGGCGGGCUGCUGUUGCUGGGGACCCGGCGGGCCGCGUUGGGUCGGGGACUGAGGGGGUUGGGAGCGCGGCGACUGAGGCCUCUCCCCCUGGAUGAACUGGGGGCACGGCUUGUGUUUGGCCUGCGGGGACGCUGUGCUCUGGACGGAGGAGGUGGAGGAGGAGGAAGAUGA